rnacentral:rRNA from 1 species
UACGAAGGGAGCUAGCGUUGUUCGGAAUCACUGGGCGUAAAGCGCACGUAGGCGGACUUAUAAGUCAGGUGUGAAAUCCCAGGGCUCAACCCUGGAAGUGCACUUGAUACUGCAAGUCUUGAGUGUGGUAGAGGCUAUUAGAAUUCCUGGUGUAGUGGUGAAAUACGUAGAUAUCAGGAGGAAUACCGGAGGCGAAGGCGGAUAGCUGGGCCAACACUGACGCUGAGACCCGAAAGCGUGGGGAUCAAACAGG